rnacentral:tRNA from 1 species
GGAGGGGUUCCCGAGUUGGCCAAAGGGGGCAGACUGUAAAUCUGCUGGCAGUGCCUUCACAGGUUCGAAUCCUGUCCCCUCCACCA